GAUGAACGCUGGCGGCGUGCCUAAUACAUGCGAGUCGAGCGAACGGACGAGAAGCUUGCUUCUCUGAUGUUAGCGGCGGACGGGUGAGUAACACGUGGAUAACCUACCUAUAAGACUGGGAUAACUUCGGGAAACCGGAGCUAAUACCGGAUAAUAUUUUGAACCGCAUGGUUCAAAAGUGAAAGACGGUCUUGCUGUCACUUAUAGAUGGAUACGCGCUGCAUUAGCUAGUUGGUAAGGUAACGGCUUACCAAGGCAACGAUGCAUAGCCGACCUGAGAGGGUGAUCGGCCACACUGGAACUGAGACACGGUCCAGACUCCUACGGGAGGCAGCAGUAGGGAAUCUUCCGCAAUGGGCGAAAGCCUGACGGAGCAACGCCGCGUGAGUGAUGAAGGUCUUCGGAUCGUAAAACUCUGUUAUUAGGGAAGAACAUAUGUGUAAGUAACUGUGCACAUCUUGACGGUACCUAAUCAGAAAGCCACGGCUAACUACGUG
rnacentral:rRNA from 1 species